GUUGUGCUGCCUCCAGCCCUUCGGGACCACAAGUGUUACUUGAAGGUGCCACAACAGGUCUGAGAAUCGGGUUCACUACAGAGACUGAUGAUUGAGUAACCCUGCAGGAUAACAAAUAACUGAAUCAUAUGACUCCUCCUCUACAGUCAAACCUGAUUGUGUGAGGGAGAACAGACUAGACCAGAAAGGAAAACCUUGAACUAAAGUUCAGGAAUUUUUUCAAGGCCAUGGGUAACAAGUUCCCAGGUGUGUGUGGCCUUGGUCAUUCAAUAUCUCAUGGCUUGACCUCUACAGCGAAGGCACCUGGCAAAAUGAAAAGGACAAUUAAAGAGAAAACAAGAAGAAUGGGGGGUACUCUGCCACUCUGGUGGUGUAGGGACAUUGGUCAACAAUUGGACUUGGAAAGGCAGGAACUCCAGGCUUGAGAAAUCACCCAAAGCAAAAGUAGUCAUUUGUAGUCUGCUCGCAAUUGUUUUGCCUGGCAGCUUGAAAUUCACACAGCUGCUGUUUUUAGUUUUGAGGCAGAAAGUGCCACUGUCUGCGCAGGUUUCAGCUGGAAUUUGAAGCCAUCCAGAAACCACGAGGAAGAACUCUGCCCACCACUGUACCAGAGCUGCCUUCAGCUGGGAACAGCAAACGUGGUCCCAUGGAUGGGACAUCUGUUGACAAAAAUAACCCUGAUGAGAAAUUCUGACAUUUCCAUAAACUCAGGGUGAUCUUGGACCACUCUUGACUCCCAUCAGUCUGGCACAUUCAGAAACCUGUGUGGGGAAAUUCUGCCUGAUAAAAGCCUAAUUUACCAUGAUUGUCUCUUAACAGCCUGUGGAGGGAUCAUGUAUUCUGGGCACCAAACCAGCAUCAACACUCCGGGUGGGGAUGGAUGGUGAGAGGAGAAAGACAAGUGGAGGGGCGAAAAAGAGAAUGAAGGAGGCACCACCCACCAUCCAUUCAGCUUGACAGUGCUGCUGCUGAAGUGCAUGUGUGUGGACUGACCACUUCACUGUGCUUGCAGCACAGCUGUUCCUUCUAAAGGUGAAUCUGCUGCUGAACAACGGGCUUGGGAGAUGCUGAGAGCUUCGGAGUCCUGUUGGCUUCAAAAGGAAAUGCAGUAUUUUCUACACCUUUCCUCCACUCCAGGAUCAAGAUCUCUAAGAAGCAGUUCAAAGGAGAACUGCAACCUACAGCCCACAUUUGAAACUCUGGGCCUUUUGUACCUUUUUUUUAGGAUGCUUUGGACAUUCUCCUUUGCCUGCCCUCCUGUGUUAUGUAGAAGAAACAGAACUGGUUUAUUAAUGCUAGCUUCAAAGUCACAUACACAUGCAUAGACACACUCUCAGACAAAU